AUUGAACGCUGGCGGCAGGCCUAACACAUGCAAGUUCGAGCGGUAGAGAGAAGCUUGCUUCUCUUGAGAGCGGCGGGCGGGUGAGUAAUGCCUAGGAAUCUGCCUGGUAGUGGGGGAUAACGCUCGGAAACGGACGCUAAUACCGCAUACGUCCUACGGGAGAAAGCAGGGGACCUUCGGGCCUUGCGCUAUCAGAUGAGCCUAGGUCGGAUUAGCUAGUUGGUGAGGUAAUGGCUCACCAAGGCAACGAUCCGUAACUGGUCUGAGAGGAUGAUCAGUCACACUGGAACUGAGACACGGUUCAGACUCCUACGGGAGGCAGCAGUGGGGAAUAUUGGACAAUGGGCGAAAGCCUGAUCCAGCCAUGCCGCGUGUGUGAAGAAGGUCUUCGGAUUGUAAAGCACUUUAAGUUGGGAGGAAGGGCAUUAACCUAAUACGUUGGUGUCUUGACGUUACCGACAGAAUAAGCACCGGCUAACUCUGUGCCAGCAGCCGCGGUAAUACAGAGGGUGCAAGCGUUAAUCGGAAUUACUGGGCGUAAAGCGCGCGUAGGUGGUUUGUUAAGUUGGAUGUGAAAUCCCCGGGCUCAACCUGGGAACUGCAUUCAAAACUGACAAGCUAGAGUAUGGUAGAGGGUGGUGGAAUUUCCUGUGUAGCGGUGAAAUGCGUAGAUAUAGGAAGGAACACCAGUGGCGAAGGCGACCACCUGGACUGAUACUGACACUGAGGUGCGAAAGC
rnacentral:rRNA from 1 species